GCCAUCAAAGAUAAAAAUAUCGGCCGAUAUCCCAAUAUAUAGGCUAAUAAAUUCCUUUUUUUAGGUGUCGAUAUAGAUACAAGGGGGGUAAGCCUAUUUCUUCCUCCUUAUUGGCGAUAUAUCCCUGAUAAAUCCCAAUAUCUCGAUAUUUACCGAUAUUUCCCGAUACCAUACAAAUAACCUAGAAAUUUGUCUUCAGUUUUGAAAAU
rnacentral:lncRNA from 1 species